rnacentral:rRNA from 1 species
AACGUGCCCAAUCGUGGGGGAUAACGUAGAGAAAUUUACGCUAAUACCGCAUACGAUCUAAGGAUGAAAGCGGGGGAUUCGCAAGAACCUCGCGCGAUUGGAGCGGCUGAUAUCAGAUUAGGUUGUUGGUGAGGUAAAAGCUCACCAAGCCGACGAUCUGUAGCUGGUUUGAGAGAACGACCAGCCACACUGGGACUGAGACACGGCCCAGACUCCUACGGGAGGCAGCAGUGGGGAAUUUUGGACAAUGGGCGAAAGCCUGAUCCAGCAAUGCCGCGUGUGG